CACUCCUACGGGAGGCAGCAGUGGGGAAUUUUGGACAAUGGGCGAAAGCCUGAUCCAGCAAUGCCGCGUGUGUGAAGAAGGCCUUCGGGUUGUAAAGCACUUUUGUCCGGAAAGAAAUCCUUGGCUCUAAUACAGUCGGGGGAUGACGGUACCGGAAGAAUAAGCACCGGCUAACUACGUGCCAGCAGCCGCGGUAAUACGUAGGGUGCGAGCGUUAAUCGGAAUUACUGGGCGUAAAGCGUGCGCAGGCGGUUUGCUAAGACCGAUGUGAAAUCCCCGGGCUCAACCUGGGAACUGCAUUGGUGACUGGCAGGCUAGAGUAUGGCAGAGGGGGGUAGAAUUCCACGUGUAGCAGUGAAAUGCGUAGAGAUGUGGAGGAAUACCGAUGGCGAAGGCAGCCCCCUGGGCCAAUACUGACGCUCAUGCACGAAAGCGUGGGGAGCAAACAGGAUUAGAAACCCCAGUAGUCCCA
rnacentral:rRNA from 1 species